GACGAACGCUGGCGGCGCGCCUAACACAUGCAAGUCGAACGGAGCUGUUUUCUCUGAAGUUUUCGGAUGGAAGAGAGUUCAGCUUAGUGGCGAACGGGUGAGUAACACGUGAGCAACCUGCCUUUCAGUGGGGGACAACAUUUGGAAACGAAUGCUAAUACCGCAUAAGACCACAGUGUCGCAUGGCACAGAGGUCAAAGGAUUUAUCCGCUGAAAGAUGGGCUCGCGUCCGAUUAGCUAGAUGGUGAGGUAACGGCCCACCAUGGCGACGAUCGGUAGCCGGACUGAGAGGUUGAACGGCCACAUUGGGACUGAGACACGGCCCAGACUCCUACGGAGGCAGCAGUGGGAAUAUUGCACAAUGGGGAAACCCUGAAUGCAGCGACGCCGCGUGGAGGAAGAAGGUCUUCGGAUUGUAAACUCCUGUCCCAGGGGACGAUAAUGACGGUACCCUGGGAGGAAGCAACCGGCUAACUACGUGCCAGCAGCCGCAGUAA
rnacentral:rRNA from 1 species